GGAAACUGUAUUUUCUUCCUCCCAUCCCUAAUUGAGCCAAAGUUUUUUGGCUGUUUUUGCUUACAGGAUUUUGCCAUGAAUCCGAAUAAAAUUGAAGAGGAUGUGUUUAGCAAAAUGGGUCCACUACCACCCCACCAUGAAUAGCUUAAUCUCAGGCUUCCACUGACGACGACGUCAUCGUCAGCAACACGAUGCUGAAUCUCCCCUAAUCUGUGAUCAGCCUCGAAACUCUAAUUCACUGGAUCUUGCUGCAAUUGAUGGUGUUAGGAGACAUUAGCGUUGCACAUUAGCCGGGUUGCUACGCCGAACGAGAUCCGAGCGGUGACUCCUGAUGACUUGCUGGCCAGCUAGAGAUUAGUGUGGAAGGACCGGAAUGAGGAUACCGCCUACUUGACUGCGUUGAAGCGUACCCAGGACUAGCUAAUUAUCAAUAUGGCUCACUCGGCCUCGACUGUCUCCAUUACUGGUAAUAGCUGUU
rnacentral:lncRNA from 1 species